GUUCGUUACCAUCUCGUAUAACCUAUUAUCAUGAAAAGGUUCCUCAAAUAAGAUCGCGAGGACAGAGAAACUGGUGUCUCCUACAAAACAUGUCAUGCCAAUUUGCAAAGAGUUUCUCGUCGCCUUUCAUGUUCAACUCUUAGUGAAAUGUGGUAGAGCUCCUAUCAAUGUUUCGCGGUUACGUUUCCUGGUGCUACUCAGAUCAGGUUGAAGGCCCAAUUUGAUAUGCUGGGAUAUUAUCUUCUCCUGGCAAGUUUUCCUGAUGAACUGUGCUCGAUUCAGCCCGUGUCUGUUCCUCGAUCCUUUUCAGAUUCAGUAUCCGAUUCAUCACUCUUUUCAGAAGCAGAUCCAGCAUCUUCAGUCUUCGCUUGUCAUCUUCUCUAAUCCUCACAUCAUAAUCAUUUAUUUUGAAGGUAGCUGGGUUCUUGCCACCAAAUGCAUAUUCUAACUCAUCCAUGUUGAAAAGGUCUUCCAUGAUCUUCAU
rnacentral:lncRNA from 7 species